rnacentral:rRNA from 1 species
UACGGAGGGUGCGAGCGUUGUCCGGAAUCACUGGGCGUAAAGGGCGCGUAGGCGGCCUGGCAAGUCGAUGGUGAAAGCCCGUGGCUCAACUACGGGUCGGCCAUUGAUACUGCUAGGCUCGAGUCGACUAGAGGCAGAUGGAAUUCCGGGUGUAGCGGUGGAAUGCGUAGAGAUCCGGAAGAACACCGGUGGCGAAGGCGGUCUGCUGGGGUCGAACUGACGCUGAGGCGCGACAGCGUGGGGAGCAAACAGG